GGAAGACAUACCUUUUGCCCUAUUCUCCGCUACUGGAAUGCCCUCCACACUCUUUUCUCUUGCUCUCCAAAUCCUAGGUGCGAGAGUCUGAGUCUGCGUGCGGCCCCUCCCGCCGUGUUUGAGGAAGCAAAGCACAGUCCGUCUGGGGCGAUGAACCCACCCAAGAGUGAAGCGUGAAGCUCGUGGGCAGAGACCGGCCACCCCCAUGAACCACCGUGGGACUCCGGGUAAACGGACAGAACGCUGCUUAUCCUAACAGCCAUUCCCGGUUCUGUCUCACAGCCUGGCUCAAGCUCCCACUGAGCUUUUCCACGGAUUGCCUCCUUUCCUCAAG
rnacentral:lncRNA from 1 species